rnacentral:lncRNA from 1 species
UCUAAAAUAGCUUCUACUAGGAGAUUAAUUAUAGAAGCCACAGAAUUUCCUGAAAAUGAUUUGCAGUAUAAAGGUGAGUGGCUCCAAAUGUCAGUGGUUGUCAGCUAGAUCUUCAUUCAGUCUGCCUUUUCAUUGGCUCCAUUUGUAAUAGAAAAGCGAAAGUUAUUCCCCAGUUGUAUAAGGCCGAGUCCGGGUCGUACAGAAUAAUGAAAUGGGAAAGCUCAGAGACCCUAACGUUAGACAAUGAAACAAGAAACUCACAGACCUCUGGACAUGCCAUGAAAUGGGAAAAUGUGCAUUUUACCUCCUCCACAGCACAUGGAAUUUUGAAGACCAAGGAGAGAUAGGAGAAUGGGUCAUCAUAGAGGGGUUGAUGGGCCAGCUUUAUUCUAAAUGACUGAAGACUUCUGUUCUUUUCAACAAACACAGUCCUCCAAUUAGGAGCUGCAAAUAAGAUUAUAUGCCCUGAAUAAGUCUGAAAAGGUCCUUUUAUAAUUAGAAAGUUUGUGUGUGGGAAGUGGAAGCAGCAUGAAGUGCUCACUGUGGCUUUAUUAAAAGAGUGACAUGAAGAUUUUACCAAAUCCUCAUCUGAGUGCUC